UACGGAGGGUGCAAGCGUUUGUCCGGAAUCACUGGGCGUAAAGGGCGCGUAGGCGGCUAUGUAAGUCACUUGUGAAAUCCCGGGGCUCAACUCCGGGGCCGCAGGUUGAGACUGUGUGGCUAGAGCAUGGUAGAGGCGAGUGGAAUUCCCGGUGUAGCGGUGGAAUGCGUAGAUAUCGGGAAGAACACCAGUGGCGAAGGCGCUCUACUGGGCCGACAACUGACGCUGAGGGACGAAAGCUAGGGGGAGCGAAAGGG
rnacentral:rRNA from 1 species